ensembl:lncRNA
UCCUGCCCACCACCUGUUUUUGUAAACAAAGGUUUGCGGGCCUGUACAUUUGCAUAUUGUCUGUAGCUGCUUUCAUACCACACCUGCAGAUGUGAGUAGCUGCCGCACAGAUUGCAUGGACCCAAAGCCUAAAAAUUGACUAUGUGGCCCUUACAGAAAAAGUUUGCCAACCUCUGCUGUCAUCUCUUGAGAGCAGGCAUCCUGCUUGAUUUGAUUUUAAGACCUGCUGAAUGGGACUGACUUUUCCAGAAGAGACUUCCACCUGCAUGAUGUGCAGAGACCCUUAAGCCAAGACCAGCACCUCUUACGGGGGCAGGUGGUGCGGCAGAGGGAGGAGUGAGGGGUGAAGGAGGGUUGGUUUCUAAACUUCUGUCUUCUCCAUCUGAGAGCAGGUUCUGAGAGAAUGAGAUGCAACAUGUCUGCCCCACAUCCACAGGGCUAAGAGCGGCCACAGCAGGGGCAAGGUUGGGAACUGAAGAUCCACUCCUUCACCUAAACAAUUGUCAUCACCUAAUUUAAUUUCUACAACAAACAAGGUGGUAUGAGGCAGGAGUGGAAAUUUGGAAGGAGAAGACUUGGGUCCAAGAUCUUCCAUCCGCUGACCAUGUCAUCUCAGUCAAAUCGUUUAACUUAGCUGAGCCUCACGCUUCUCAUUUGUAAAAUGGAGAUGAAAAUAAUAUAACUUUAUAGUCUUGAUGUGUUAGAUGAGCAAAGUGUGUCAAAGUACUUUGAAAACCACAUAGUUCUUAUGCAAACAGUUAUUAUAUAAUAGUUCUAAGAGUUGCUAUGUAAUCAUACGGUGGACCUGGAUAAGCCAGUGUUUCUGGAAGGGUAGGCGUUGGUCUCCUGAGUUCUGGCCCGAACAGAUCAUGUGUCUUAAAGGCAUUUUUGGCAAAGCUGGGUCUGCCAAGGCAAUCAAACUUUGAAACUAUAAAACACUCAUCCCAAACCCAGUCGCAUAAAACAACAAGGAUUAAUUUCUUGUCUACACAUCUGCUGGUCAGCUGAAGCUCAGUUGAUCUAGAAAAGGCUCAGCCAAGCUUGGAUCCAAAUUGUGGGUCAAGGAGGAUGUGUCUCUCAUCCUUUCUGGACCAGUGGAUUCUCAAUAUAUGUUCUUUUCACAGUGAUAGGAGCACAUGAGCCCAAGCCCCUGCUUGCAUCACAUCUAUUAACACCCCAUUGGCCACAGCAAGAAAUAGGAAAGCAUACUUUUCUCAUCAGGAGGCUGAGUUUUUUCCCCCUGAAAUUUGACCAUUUUCCUGACCAAGGAGAUCAGCUAUCUAUCAAUCCAAACACAUUUAUGAAGAUUUAGUAUUGUGCCAAGCUCUGCAAUUGCCAAUAAGGUGAAGAAGCCCAAGAUCUG